UACGGAGGGAGCUAGCGUUAUUCGGAAUUACUGGGCGUAAAGCGCACGUAGGCGGCUUUGUAAGUUAGAGGUGAAAGCCUGGAGCUCAACUCCAGAACUGCCUUUAAGACUGCAUCGCUUGAAUCCAGGAGAGGUGAGUGGAAUUCCGAGUGUAAAGGUGAAAUUCGUAGAUAUUCGCAAGAACACCAGUGGCGAAGGCGGCUCACUGGCCCGGUACUGACACUGAAGUGCGAAAGCGUGGGGAGCAAACAGG
rnacentral:rRNA from 1 species